rnacentral:rRNA from 1 species
UGCAGCCAUACCACCCUGUAGCCCAAGACUGGUCGCCCACUGAAGCUAAGCAGGGUUGAGCCUGGUCAGUGCCUGGAUGGGAGACCUCCUGGGAAAACGCCUCGGGUUACGUAUGUAA